CCCCGAACACCGCCCGGUGCCGGCGCUCCCGGCCUCCUGCGGCUGCAUGGGCAGCACGGUGCUUGCCCGCGUGGACACCGGCACAGGGGUUGUGAAAAGCAAUAACCUGUUCAAUUCUUCCUGUUGCCUGUUUUUCUGUUAAAAGUCUUGGCUGUCUUGCACUCUGCUCUGGAGCCCCAUAUAUCGGUGUUCUCAAUUCUUUUGGAAUAUUUCCCUGUCCUGUGAGCCUGUAGAGCAUGCUACCAGCCAAUUUUGGGGGAAGGAUUUACAUGAACUCCUUUAUUAUCCAUAUUUCUGCCAGGGGAGGUGGGGGUGUGACACAGGUGCCACGGGUGUGCAGCCACAGCUCCUAGGGACUUGCUGGUGUAAAUGAUGACUGAAUUUUUUCCCCAUCAGAGCGACAGUGCUGAUUUCUUGCUGUUCAAGCCAGAUCAUGUCUGAUGCAUCAGCUGGGAAGUGCUGCUGUGUCCCACACCCUGGUGUUACCAAAUGUCCAAAAUACUAGGAUCAGGGGCAUGUUSCUAAUGGUUUCCUUUGGCUUUACCCACAGGRCGCUGUGRAGGCAGAGGUGGGGGGUUGAACCUUGGGGAGACCUGAAKUUAAGGCUACAGCUGACAGUGGAAGACUAUGAGAGCGGUUGUCUGGUUUGCACCAUCCUGCCUGAAGUUCUAGCAAAUAAUGGUUGAGACUUGUAAGAAGUUGUCCUGGGUCCUGCUGGGGUUUCAGUGUUCUGCUAAAGAAGAUGGAUGGUUCURCUGCUCCUGUGCUGCUGCCUGGGAUCCUCAUCCAAGCCACAGCAUUCACAUCACCCUGUGACAGCUCUGGCCUUUCCUCAGCUGUCAUGAGUGAUGAAUUUGUGUCCUGCCUACUUAGAUGGAGGGUGUURCAUAUUUGUCCCCUGGGUACAAGGCCUGUAACUGGAAUGGAUUCUGGAAUUUGCUGCAUGUUUAAUGGAGUUAGAUGCCUUUGUCUGCAGGGGUUGCAUUCCCUGCAUGGCCGCUCAUGAUUCCUGCCACAGUCAUUAAAGGCAAGGAAGCCUCUCCUCAGAGCAGCUGCCAGGAAUGGGGGAAUGRCUUUGUGUGUAAGGAAAGAAGUCAGGGUUUGGUCCUCCCCUGCCAUCCAGAAAGCGUUUGUGGUGUGUCCCUGGCAGCUUGUGGAGUGGCAAGGGGUGUCUGGAAUGCUGUAGCAGCACAAUGUUUCUAUACUGUUAAAAGCCUGUUUUUAAUAAAAUCUGAGUACUGGG